CCGGGAUAUUUACUCCACGUGGAAUUUACAAGUUGCAGAGGCCAAGCUUUUAAAGACGUAUUAUGAGAAAUUCGAAAACUAUGUAAUCCUAAAUCAAAUAAAUUGUAUGCAAGGUACAAGUUCACAACAAGAAAGCAAUCAGACGUAGAAACUUUCGAACAGUUUGUUACCGAUUUAAGGAUAUUGAUUAAUGAUUGUGACUAUCAACAAAAAGAAGAAAUGUUGCGAGACCAAAUCGUAUUUACCGUUAAAUCACAGAAAAUCAGAGAAAAACUAAUAAACGAAGGAAGUGAUCUAACUCUAGAAAAAGCAAUCGACAUUGCAAGAACAUACGAACUAUCAAAACAACAACUAAGGUCAAUGAAUGGAGACUCGGGGGGUUAAUGACUAUCCUUUCGGAUAUAAUUGUGACGACAGCACUUGCCAAAUCAUACCCUGUUCUAACAAGAAAACAUUGAAAAACAUACCCUGUUCUAAACAAAAAUAUUGAAAAUCAUACCCUGUUCUAUACACGCUCAGAAAAUGUAUACCCUGUUCUAGACCGUGUAAAAUAGAUGCAUUUCUAGACCCGGGUUCUAGACUAUAUCUUAAACAGUUAAAUAAGCGAUAGCCUGUUCUAGACAAAUACUUUAUUUUAAAAAAAGACCCUGUUCUCACCAGCAGGGCAUGAAAAAGCGACCCUGUUCUAACCAGCAGGACAUGAAAAAGGGACCCUGUUCUAACCUGUAGGGCAUGAAAAAGUGACCCUCUUUUGCGGCACACUCAUACCCCCGGGGGCUGGACCUAGGUAUAUAAAAGUUAAAUGAAGUCUAUGUUCUACAUAAGCAACCUAAUUUUCCCCACGAAAAGCCUGCCCCCCCCCCCC
rnacentral:lncRNA from 1 species